GAUGAAGAACGUAGCGAAAUGCGAUACGUAAUGUGAAUUGCAGAAUUCAGUGAAUCAUCGAAUCUUUGAACGCAUAUUGCGCUCUCUGGUAUUUCGGAGAGCAUGCUUGUUUGAGUAUCAGUAAACACCUCAACUUCCAUAUCUUUUUUUGAAAUGGGAGUUGGACUUGAGUGAUCCCAACGCUUUUCCUCACCGAAAAGUGGCGGGUUACUUGAAAUGCAGGUGCAGCUGGACUUUUCUCUGAGCUAUAAGCAUAUCUAUUUAGUCUGCCUAAAAAACAGAUUAUUACCUUUGCUGCAGCUAACAUAAAGGAGAUUAGUUCUUGUGCUGACUGAUGCAGGAUUCACAAAGACAGCUUCGGCCGACUUUGUAAACUCGAUCUCAAAUCAAGUAAGACUACCCGCUGAACUUAAGCAUAUCAAUAAGCGGAGGA
rnacentral:misc_RNA from 1 species